CCUACGGGAGGCUGCAGUGGGGAAUAUUGGGCAAUGGGCGCAAGCCUGACCCAGCAACGCAGCGUGAAGGAAGAAGGCUUUCGGGUUGUAAACUUCUUUUCUCAGGGACGAAGCAAGUGACGGUACCUGAGGAAUAAGCCACGGCUAACUACGUGCCAGCAGCCGCGGUAAUACGUAGGUGGCAAGCGUUAUCCGGAUUUACUGGGUGUAAAGGGAGUGUAGGCGGGAAAGCAAGUCAGAUGUGAACACCAUGGGCUCAACCUGUGGCCUGCAUUUGAAACUGUUUUUCUUGAGUACUGGAGAGGCAGACGGAAUUCCUAGUGUAGCGGUGAAAUGCGUAGAUAUUAGGAGGAACACCAGUGGCGAAGGCGGUCUGCUGGACAGCAACUGACGCUGAGGCGCGAAAGCGUGGGGAGCAAACAGGAUUAGAUACCCCUGUAGUC
rnacentral:rRNA from 1 species